rnacentral:lncRNA from 1 species
GGGCAGACUGAUAAUAAACACACCAGUGAAUGAACAAGUGAGACAGUUCUCAGAAGUGUUAAUGGCCCUGAAGGUGCCUGGGGUGGGGCUCCUUCCACCAGGGAGGGAAGGCUGUCAGACGUUAGGCUGAGGUCUGUGGAUGAGAAGGUGUCCCCAGCAUGGGACGGUGAAUACGAAGACCUUGGCACCAUGCAGGAGUGAUCCGGAGGCGGGGGUGGCUGAGGGGUGGUCCAUGGGGGGUGGGACACACGAGGCUGUAGAAGAGCCAGAGACAGCCAAGAGCCAAGGAGCUGCAGGUGGAGGUGAGAGCAAUUAGCAUUGAGGCUGGAAGGAAGCUCAGAUGCGAUUCUAGAAUUUAGGGUGUGGGGCUAAGGGAGCGAAGGGUGGGGCUCUGAGCCCUGGGCCCAGGAGGAGGGUUGCUGUGGAGGGAGGCGGGGUCGGUGGGCGGUGCCCAGGCCCAGGGAGAGCCAGCUCACCAUGGGCAGGGAGUGACAGGCCAGUGGCAUCACUGUGCUCGUCCUGAGGCAGCUCACGUACACUGUGUCUGGUUUCCAGCUGUAGAAAUGCCAGCUCUCCCUGGCAGGUUUACUUUUCAUCAGAACUCCAUCAUUCAUCACGAACUAGGACCGUUUGCUCUUGCUCCAGGCCCCGAUCUGUGUCUGCUAACGUCUGCCCCUGCGCACCCCUCACGUCAGAGAGCGCUCAUCACCACCCUUCCUGCUUGACAGAUGAGGAAACUGGGAAGGGAGAACAGACGCUGCCAGUCGCGCAGGUCCUUCCUCCCCGCGGCUCAGGGAAGAAAGGGCGAGGCCCCUUGUGGGGCAGGAGUGGAGGGGAACCGGCCCGCUGAGUGCCAGGACGCCAGGCACAGAUGGUCGCACACCCAGGGACUGUUGCUGUGGGGCCGCUUCCCUGCUAAUGAGUUAACAGCUCUCUCCUCUGGAAAAGGCUGUUGGCGGAGAAAGGGGCCUCUGGGGCCUCAAGUUCUGCUGGGAUGCAAGAAGUCAGCAGAAUUCUUACUGCAUCUAAUUUCUAAUAAAG